AUGAGCUGGAAUUCUGGACAGAGCCUUCCCACUGUGCUCUUACGCAGAGCAGUACUUCGGGUCAGGUACCCGGCUCACCGUGUUAGGCAGGGUUUGUGCGGGGGUCCCCAGGGCUGUGCGAACACCGGGCAGCUGUUCUUUGGGGACGGCUCCAAGCUGACUGUGCUAGGGCGCAGGACCGCGGCGCGGGUUUUUGUGCGGGGCUGGGGGGCUGUGAACCAACAGACCCAGUACUUCGGGCCCGGCACGCGGCUCCUGGUGCUAGUGCCCGCGGGACCCGGAGCCCGGCGGCGCGGACCGGGUGGAAGGCGGCGGUUCCGGUUUCGCGGCACUGGGUCCCCUGAGACCGCCUGGAGCUCGGGACGGGCUGGGCGCCUGGGGGGUGGAGCAGCUCGAGCGCUGCGGGAGUUUUCGUGCGGGUCUCAGGCUCCGUGCUCCUAUGAGCAGCACUUCGGGCCGGGAACCAGGCUCACGGUCAUAGAUGACCUGAAGAAGGUGACCCUACCCAAGGUGGCUGUAUUUGAACCCUCGGAAGCAGAGAUUGCCCGGACCCAAAAGGCCACACUCGUGUGCCUGGCCACGGGCUUCUACCCUGACCAUGUGGAGUUGAGCUGGUGGGUGAACGGGAAGGAGGUGCAGAGUGGGGUCAGCACAGACCCUCAGCCCUACAAGGAGAACCCCAAAGACAGUGACUCCAAGUACUGCCUGAGCAGCCGCCUAAGGGUCUCGGCCGCCUUCUGGCAUAACCCCCGCAACCACUUCCGCUGCCAAGUCCAGUUCUACGGGCUUGACGAGCAAGACAACUGGACCCUGCCUUGGGACAAACCCCUCACCCAGAAGAUCAGUGCCGAGGCCCAGGGCAGAGCAGACUGUGGCUUCACCUCAGUGUCCUAUCAGCAAGGGGUCCUGUCUGCCACCAUCCUCUAUGAGAUCCUGCUGGGGAAGGCCACCGUGUAUGCUGUGCUGGUCAGCGCCCUGGUGCUCAUGGCCAUGGUCAAGAGAAAGGACUCCUGAGGCCAGCUGCAAAGUGCAUCCUGAGUCAUUCUUCAUCCUCAGCUGGAUUGUCCAGUAACUGCUCCCAACUGUGUUCCUGAAGAGUUACUCUCUUUCUACCUCUCACCCCCUUCCUAUAUGAAUAUCUGAUAUCCGUCUCUUCUUUCUGUUUCCCCUGCUGACUGAGCUCCCAGCCCCCAAGUCUGUAAUCAACUUAGCCAAUAAAGAUGGCCCACUGGGCCUG